rnacentral:rRNA from 1 species
CCUACGGGAGGCAGCAGUGAGGAAUAUUGGUCAAUGGGCGAGAGCCUGAACCAGCCAAGUCGCGUGAGGGAGUACUGCCCUAUGGGUUGUAAACCUCUUUUGUCGGGGAGCAAAAGCCGGACGUGUCCGGCUGUGAGAGUACCCGAAGAAAAAGCAUCGGCUAACUCCGUUCCAGCAGCCGCGGUAAUACGGAGGAUGCGAGCGUUAUCCGGAUUUAUUGGGUUUAAAGGGUGCGCAGGCGGAUUUUUAAGUCAGCGGUAAAAUCGUGGGGCUCAACCCCAUCCAGCCGUUGAAACUGGGGAUCUAGAGUGUGCGAGAGGUAUGCGGAAUGCGUGGUGUAGCGGUGAAAUGCAUAGAUAUCACGCAGAACCCCGAUUGCGAAGGCAGCAUACCGGUGCACAACUGACGCUCAGGCACGAAAGCGUGGGUAUCGAACAGGAUUAGAUACCCGGGUAGUC